rnacentral:rRNA from 1 species
CCUACGGGUGGCAGCAGUGGGGGAUAUUGCACAAUGGGGGGAACCCUGAUGCAGCGACGCCGCGUGGGUGAAGAAGCGCCUCGGCGCGUAAAGCCCUGUCAGCAGGGAAGAAAAUGACGGUACGUGAAGAAGAAGCCCCGGCUAACUACGUGCCAGCAGCCGUGGGAAUACGUAGGGGGCAAGCGUUAUCCGGAUUUUCUGGGUGUAAAGGGGGCGCAGACGGGGAUGCAAGCCAGGAGUGAAAGCCAGGGGCCCAACCCCGGGAAUGCUCUUGGAACUGCGUGGCUGGAGUGCAGGAGGGGCAGGCGGAAUACCUGGUGUAGCGGUGAAAUGCGUAGAUAUCAGUAGGAACACCGAUGGCGAAGGCAGCCUGCUGGACUGCAACUGACGUUGAGGCCCGAGAGCGUGGGGAGCAAACAGGAUUAGAUACCCCUGUAGUC